rnacentral:rRNA from 1 species
CCUGACGGAGCAACGCCGCGUGAGGGAUGAAGGCCUCUGGGCUGUAAACCUCUUUUAUCAAGGAAGAAGAUCUGACGGUACUUGAUGAAUAMGCCACGGCUAAUUCCGUGCCAGCAGCCGCGGUAAUACGGGAGUGGCAAGCGUUAUCCGGAAUUAUUGGGCGUAAAGCGUCCGCAGGCGGCCCUUCAAGUCUGCUGUUAAAAAGKGGAGCUUAACUCCAUCAUGGCAGUGGAAACUGANGGGCUNGAGUGUGGUAGGGGCAGAGGGAAUUCCCGGUGUAGCGGUGAAAUGCGUAGAUAUCGGGAAGAACACCAGUGGCGAANGCGCUCUGCUGGGCCAUCACUGACKCUCAUGGACGAAAGCCAGGGGAGCGAAAGGGAUUAGAUACCCCUGUAAGUCCUGGCCGUAAACGAUGAACACUAGGUGUCGGGGGAAUCGACCCCUUCGGUGUCGUASCCAACGCGUUAAGUGUUCCGCCUGGGGAGUACGCACGCAAGUGUG